ensembl:lncRNA
CUGGUCCAGUAACUAGACAGACCGUUUUUCCCCUCAAUUUGGUGACCCCGGUGUGAUUUUUUCUGAAUUGGACCGCAACUGGGAAACGAGAGACGGAGAGCGGCACGGCCUCUGGACCCCGGAGCACCGGACCGAUUCCUGCAGUCUCACCUCGCGUACGCCCAACAAAAGUUUGUAAUUCCAGCAAGAGAAACACAGAGUUCCAGGGCCAGAGGAGGAGCCAGAUGCAGACACGCCCGGAGCCGACCAACUACCCAAGGAUGAUGCAAUCAGAUUUCGGCAGGGUUUGAAUCAGUCCUGUUUUGGUGGUCCACUAUUAACAAUAAUGUUGAUUGGAUAAAUAAUAUAUACUAUAAUCAGCAACGGUUGGUCAAU